AUUGAGCGCUGGCGGCAGGCUUAACACAUGCAAGUCGAGCGGAGCGAGGGUGCUUGCACCUUAGCUUAGCGGCGGACGGGUGAGUAAUGCUUAGGAAUCUGCCUAUUAGUGGGGGACAACAUUCCGAAAGGAAUGCUAAUACCGCAUACGCCCUACGGGGGAAAGCAGGGGAUCUUCGGACCUUGCGCUAAUAGAUGAGCCUAAGUCGGAUUAGCUAGUUGGUGGGGUAAAGGCCUACCAAGGCGACGAUCUGUAGCGGGUCUGAGAGGAUGAACUGCAACACUGGGACUGAGACACGGCCCAGACUCCUACGGGAGGCAGCAGUGGGGAAUAUUGGAGAAGGGGCGGAAGCCUGAUCCAGCCAUGCCGCGUGUGUGAAGAAGGCCUUUUGGUUGUAAAGCACUUUAAGCGAGGAGGAGGCUACUUAGAUUAAUACUCUGGGAUAGUGGACGUUACUCGCAGAAUAAGCACCGGCUAACUCUGUGCCAGCCGCCGCCGUAA
rnacentral:rRNA from 1 species